UGGGUUGUGGCUCAGAGGUAGAGCACUUGCCUAGCAUGCAUGAGGCACUGAAUUUGAUCCUCAGCACCUUUA
rnacentral:tRNA from 1 species